rnacentral:rRNA from 1 species
UCGAACGGUAACAGGCCCGCAAGGGUGCUGACGAGUUGGCGGACGGGUGAGGAAUACAUCGGAAUCUGCCCGGUUGUGGGGGAUAACGUAGGGAAACUUACGCUAAUACCGCAUACGACCGAGAGGUGAAAGCGGGGGAUCAGCAAUGACCUCGCGCGAUCGGAUGAGCCGAUGUCGGAUUAGCUAGUUGGCGGGGUAAAGGCCCACCAAGGCGACGAUCCGUAGCUGGUCUGAGAGGAUGAUCAGCCACACUGGGACUGAGACACGGCCCAGACUCCUACGGGAGGCAGCAGUGGGGAAUAUUGGACAAUGGGGGCAACCCUGAUCCAGCAAUGCCGCGUGUGUGAAGAAGGCCUUCGGGUUGUAAAGCACUUUUAUCCGGAACGAAACGCGCAGGGCGAAUACCCUUGCGAACUGACGGUACCGGAGGAAUAAGCACCGGCUAACUUCGUGCCAGCAGCCGCGGUAAUACGAAGGGUGCAAGCGUUACUCGGAAUUACUGGGCGUAAAGCGUGCGUAGGUGGUUUGUUAAGUCUGCUGUGAAAGCCCCGGGCUCAACCUGGGAAUGGCAGUGGAUACUGGCAAGCUAGAGUGCGGUAGAGGGUAGUGGAAUUCCCGGUGUAGCGGUGAAAUGCGUAGAGAUCGGGAGGAACACCAGUGGCGAAGGCGGCUACCUGGACCAGCACUGACACUCAGGCACGAAAGCGUG